rnacentral:rRNA from 1 species
UACGUAGGUGGCGAGCGUUAUCCGGAAUUAUUGGGCGUAAAGCGUCCGCAGCCGGUAUUGUAAGUCUAGAAUGAAAGCCUGGGGCUCAGCCCCAGAUUGUUAUAGAAACUGCAAGACUCGAGUGUGGUAGAGGCAAAUGGAAUUUCUAGUGUAGCGGUAAAAUGCGUAGAUAUUAGAAGGAACACCAGUGGCGAAGGCGAUUUGCUGGGCCAUAACUGACGGUCAGGGACGAAAGCGUGGGGAGCAAAUA